UUUGGCAGAUCAGACCACUCAAAAAAUAGCCACUACAUCAGAGGGGCUGCUCCGGUGUUGGUUCCUCCCACUUUAUCAGAACCGGUGUACACAAAGAAGGACCUGCAGUUAGCAUCUCAACUUGGAGCUAAGUCCCUCAACCCAGGAGGUUGAUACCAAUUACCAGACAAGCGAGUGAUGUUACCUGAGGCAUUAGGACGUGAGCUGGUACACCAGGCUCACCAAACCACCAAUUUAGGGGGAACUAAACUUGCUGAAUUGUUCAGAACUUGGUUUUUCAUUCCAAGACUCUCCAAACUGACUGCCUCUUUGGGCUCCAGAUGCCCACCAUGCUUGUUAGUCAACCUGACCAAAAGCUCUCCAUUGCAGACCACCUGGCAUUGAGGAACUGCCCCUGGAGAACACUUGGAAGUAGACUUUAUGGACAUGGUAAAGCCUGGUUUACAGGGACAUCACUCUCUCUUGGUAUUAGUAGACACCUUCACUGGCUGGGUAGAGGCUUUCCCUACUAAGUCCGAGUCAGUCAUAGUGGUAGCCAGAAAGCUACUGCAUGAGAACAUACCUUGAUUUGGCCUUCCCAUUAUCAAUGGGGUCCGAUACUGGCCUGGCUUUCAUAGCCCAAGUCAUCCAAAAGUUAGUCCAAGCAUUAAAGAUUAAUUGGAAACUCCACUGUGCCUACUGGCCACAAAGCUCAGGGUAAGUAGAAUGUAUGAACCAAACUCUCAAGGACACUUUAGCUAAGCUGUCUUUAGAAAUUGGCGAUAAUUGGGUGAGCCUUCUUCCCUUUGCUCUGCUGCGAGCUAGAUGUACCCCAUAUGUUUCUGGAAUUUCCCCCUUUGAGUGUAUAUUCAGAAGGCCCCCUCCACUGGUCCCGAGAUUGUCAGAGGAUAAAUUAGUUGAAAUAACUAACCUAGAUCUCAUUAAGUCCCUGUAGACACUCCAGCCUGUGUUGGCCUUGAUCCACCAGCUGUUUAGACAAAAACACCGGGACCUGCCUUCAGAGCAGCCACUCAAAGUACCCAUCGAGCCGGGAACUUCUGUCCUGGUGUGACGUCACCAUCAAGACUCCCUCGAACCCCUCUGGGAAGGACCCUUCACUGUGGUGCUCAGUACCGCUACUGCCAUCAAGGUAGCAGGAAAAACUGUGUGGAUUCACCAUACUCACAUAAAGCCACUGGAAACAGCGGACAACGAGGGACAUGCUCAGUGGACUAUACAACAGACUGGAAACCCCUUGAAGUUAAAAUUGACUAAACAUAGUUAGAUUAUACCAGUCACGAACUGCUUUAGCUUGCUUGCUUUUGCUCCUUCUGUCCCAUUGCUGGGGAUUUUAAUAACAUUGAUGCUGAUCUUGCAUGGAGGCUUUGGUCCCCCUGUAAGCAAAGAACAGUUGUUAAGAUCUUUGUAUGGGAGCCACUAUGAUUGUGGAGAGGGUUAUAUUAAAGAGAAAGACUCUGGCUGGGGGGGCGGGAUUAUACAUACAAUAGGAAAAAAGGAUCAUGAUCCUUCCCACAUAAAUGAUAAAUUAUAUACAUAUAGUCUUCGGACAGAUUGUGGGGACAAGUUAGCAUUCCUUGUUGCUAUACCCUCAGUUACAGGGGUUUGACUCAAAUGUGGAUGUGUAAGUUAAAGCCCCGCAUGAUGCCUAACAAAGGCAGCCAGCUAGGGCCAUGCCCUCAGAAUUGUUCUUAUUAUUCAAGAAAUGCGUUCCUCCUGCUAUGACUCUGUGCAAGAAUGUAUAAGCAUAGAUAGCAAAACUUACUUCACUACUGAGCUUAUGAGGACACAGGCUAGAAGUGCUGGAGGUGAUUGGUCCACCCAUCCAACAGUAAUAGGAAAUUCAAAGUAUGCUCAAGCCUCAUGUCAUGGCAUGAUUGGUGAAUCAGUUUGCUGGAGCAGGGUGGCCCCAAUACAUGUGUCUGAUGGGGGCGGCCCGCAAGCUAAGAACAGAGAACUCAUGGUUGAGUUACAAGUCAAGCAGGUAAUAAAAAUAAUGUUUACCCAGAUAUAUUACCACCCCCUUGAUGCUGCCUAAAUCACAGGGAGUUGAUCUGGAUGCUCAAACUUCUGAUAUUCUAGAAGCAACUCAUAAAGCCUUAGAUGCUUCCAACCCAACUUUGGCUGAAGAUUGCUGGUUAUGCAUGGUACAGGGCUCCCCCAUGCCCCUUAUGAUCCCCAUCAGUGUUUCUUUGAUCAUGCUAGAGAAACAAGAUUACUUAAAUUGUAGUGCAGGUCCCCCCUUUAGAGUGCAAACAGUAGGAUUCAAGGAUUCUUCCUGUCUCCAAGGAGGUUUUCAUAAUGAUACCUCCAACACUGACAUGGGAUUCAUUGCAUUUACUAAUUGUAGUCCCAUAGUUAAUUGGACUACCCCCUUUAUCCGCCGAAGGACAAGUAUUUAUUUGUGGAGGAAAUAUGGCCUAUACAUUCCUCCCAACUAACUGGACAGGAAAAUGUGUAACAGCUGUACUAUUGCCUGAUACAGAGAUCCUACCCAGGGAUGAGCCUGUCCCCAUUCCUAGUUUAGAUUACUUUACAGGCCACUCAAAGAGGGCAGUUCAACUUAUUCCUUUAUUGGUAGGCCUAGGAAUAUCAGGAGCCUUAGGUAUGGGUCAGCAGGAGUAGGGGUUUCUGUCCAACUUUCCAACCAGAUCGUUAGUGAUGUGCAGGCAUUAUCUAGUACCGUUCAGGUCAUUCAACACCAAAUAGGCUUGUUGGCUGCAGUAGUUCUCCAAAACAGAAAUGGACUAGACUUCCUAAUGGCGAAACAAGGAGGGAUCUGUGCGGCAUUGCAGGCAUGAUGCUGCUUUUAUGUAAAUAAGCCCGGAAUUGUCCGAGAUAAAAUCAAGAGACUACAGAAAGACCUAGUCAAAAAAAGAGGAGAGAGCUAUGUAAAAACACUUUAUGAAGUGUUUAAAAUGAAAUGCUGCCCUAUCUCCUGCCCUUGCUUGCACCGUUGUUAUGAGUACUGCUUUUGGUCACAGUAGGUGCUAGUACACUCAAUAGAAUAACUGCAUAUGUCAGGCAACAAAUGCAAGGCAUAAAGCUAAUUAUGUUACACCAGCAUGCCUUUGUUCCCCCAAAUACCUAAGUAAUUGGCCAAAGAUUUGGCCUCAGUCACAACAUCAGAAGGGAAUGUUGUGGCCUAGUUCUAACCAAUGCGCCUACUUCCUGUUCUGUAUGCGCCAUUUCAAUAGAGAUUAAAAUUCCAUUUCCAGUAAAGACUUAAGUUUUAGCUCCUUGUAAAUACAUCCAACCCUCUUUUGCAAGUUUUGGCAAGGUGUGCUGUUCCUGGAAAAUGUUUAACUACAAGGAGCAUUGAAAUGUACCAAGAAUGUUAUCUAAAAUAGGUCUAUAGCUUUGUGGUUUUUAGCUACCCCUCCCCCUUCUGCCUGUUGGUAAUAAAAUGUGCUGUUCCUUAAGAAACAUUUAACUACAAGGAAAUUAUAGGAAAUGCCAAGAAGUCCAGGUACUAUCAAACUGUGUCAAAGUUCGAAACAUUCCUGUGGUUUUAAAAACCCAACCCUUUAGCUUGUAAGGCAUGCAGUCUUCCAUAUGGGCUCACAGAGGCUGCAUCAUCAGGCCUGGCCUAAAAUAAAGCCUUUGCUCCCUAAAUUUUAAUUGCUUGCUUCCUUGGAUUUUAUUUCAGGGUAUGAGCUAUCACAGUUAAACCCCUUAUUUGAGGGGCUUCGCAUAGUACUUGGCCUUCUUGCUCUUCUGCUUUCCACAGCAUGAGGAUACCUCCUUCCUCCUUUCUGGAGGACGAAGAAAUAAGACGCCAUCUUGGAGGCAGAGGGCAGCCAUUCCCACACAGAAUCUGCCAGAGCAGGGGCCUUGGCGCUCCCAUCCACCAGAAUCCUGAGAAAAUCCACGCCUGACUUUUGGGCAAGGUGGAGCAAAGAGAACUAAAAUCAAUUGAAAAUCACAUUGUCUGCAAAUGGAUAGCUUGGGACUCUGCUGAGAUAGAUGUCUCUCCUUCACAAUGUGGAAGCAAACUGGACUCUUGGCAGAAAUCCUGCAGGCCAAGGCCCUUUGGGGAGCUCUGCUGAAGAGGAGCAGAGGCUGACUGGUUCCCAUGCCCCAGCAGAACAAAGACAGAAGCCACAACAUUCAUUAAGGAAAAGUAUGUAUUAGGAAGUAAUAGAUGCUUCAUCAGGUAAGGCCAUUAGCAAAGAAUCUAUGCUUCCAGAAGACACACUUUAUCUGUAUUCAAAUUGUUAUGGAAAACGGUUUCUUAUAAGUUAUGGUGUGAGAGAGUGUAUCUGAAUGGCUGGAUAAGGCAUCUUGUGAAGACAGCAGGCAGUGUGAUGGCAAAGAUGACCUUUCAUUCCUGGCUUCCACUUAAAGCAACUGAUGGGAGGAGGAGCUAUCUCUUCAGGAACCAGACCUUGUUGCAGGGCUCACUGCUGAUAGGACUGUGGUACUUAGCACUGGCUUGUUGAUCAUCAACUGCCUCUCUCCUCUCUCUCCUUUUUUGUAUAGCCUGGAAGUAAUUCUGUUAUAGCAGGAACUCUUACUCACAGGUUUCUGCCUCUGUAGCUUUGAUGGACGACUUGUAGGGCAGGCCUCUAGCUUGUCCAUGAGCAUCUCUUCCUCAGUUGUCCCGAUUUGGACUGCAUCCUUCUCACCUUCUAUGUAUCUCUGGUUUUUGAUGAUCUCCUCCCAAUGUUCAGUAAUGGAUAGGAUCCUAUUAUUUUGCUUCAACU